rnacentral:rRNA from 1 species
AGCAUAUCAAUAAGCGGAGGAAAAGAAACCAACAGGGAUUGCCCUAGUAACGGCGAGUGAAGCGGCAACAGCUCAAAUUUGAAAUCUGGCUUCGGCCCGAGUUGUAAUUUGCAGAGGAAGCUUUAGGCGCGGCACCAACUGAGUCCCCUGGAACGGGGCGCCACAGAGGGUGAGAGCCCCGUAUAGUUGGACGCCUAGCCUGUGUAAAGCUCCUUCGACGAGUCGAGUAGUUUGGGAAUGCUGCUCAAAAUGGGAGGUAAAUUUCUUCUAAAGCUAAAUACCGGCCAGAGACCGAUAGCGCACAAGUAGAGUGAUCGAAAGAUGAAAAGCACUUUGAAAAGAGGGUUAAAUAGCACGUGAAAUUGUUGAAAGGGAAGCGCUUGUGACCAGACUUGCGCCCGGCUGAUCAUCCGGUGUUCUCACCGGUGCACUCUGCCGGGCUCAGGCCAGCAUCGGUUCUCGCGGGGGGACAAAGGCCCUGGGAACGUAGCUCCUCCGGGAGUGUUAUAGCCCAGGGUGUAAUGCCCUCGCGGGGACCGAGGUUCGCGCAUCUGCAAGGAUGCUGGCGUAAUGGUCAUCAGCGACCCGUCU